AUGCGGCAUCGGCGGCGGCACGAGAGGAGCGGCGGCGGAGGGGAGCUGCGAAGAGGUGCCGCUCGGGCGCGAGACGGCAGAGGCGGGCGCGGCUGCUCUGGUCCCCGAUCUGGGGAGGGUACGAGGCGAAGAAGGGCGCCGCCAUCGUUGUCGCCGUUGCAGACAGUUAGCUAUAUGGCGGAGCGCGUUCUGGGCACUUCAUUUGGCAUCGUCUUUCAGGCUAAAUGCUUGGAAACUAGGGAGACAGUGGCCAUUAAGAAGGUACUGCAGGACCGACCGUACAAGAACCGGGAGCUGCAGCUUAUGCGUUUGAUUAACCAUUUCAAGGUUGUUCUCCCUCAAGUACUGCUUCUUCUCAACCACAAGUAG
rnacentral:rRNA from 1 species